ensembl:lncRNA
AUGUUCUAUAGAAGUUGUAUUUUGUAUACAUGUAAUCUAUGGAUAUCUCUGUUGGCAGGCCCUGGAGAGCAAUCCAAGCAGGCAGGAACCAGAAGAGGCACAAUCCUUGAAGGAUAUGGAAGAAUUAAGAACAAUCAGCUGAAGAAAGGCAACCAACAUGCUUUCCUGUUUGUUUUUUCCCCAUGUGUCCAGGUAAGUGUAAUAAAUUCUUUUUGGGGAAUCAUUAAACCAGUCUCUCCAGCAUUUUCGCUCUCACCGUCUAAGAGCUUGGAUACGAGGGCUGCAAACAGCGUUUUUCACCACAUGGGGGCAGAUGGCAGAUGUCACAACUGCGUGCGUUUUCUCAAAAUUCUAUUUGGGUCCAAGCACUUGGUGCUGCUUUCUGGCUGAGGCUGAGGGAAGUCCUGCUGUUGCUUUCAUCAGGGGAAGAGUGUGCAAUGGUGCUUUGAGGGCUUUUUGUUCUGCGUGCGCUCUGUCGUGGGGAGAGCGUGAAGCCGACUGAACUACGGAACAGAUCCUGGAGCCGCUCAUUUCUCCCCAUUGCACUGGCUCUGACUGCCUGCACGCAGCCGCUUCCACUCUUCAAACAGCAGCUGGAUUGAUCUCUUAAAAGCCUCAGCCGAACUGUGUUCCUUUGCUGUCUAGACGUUCUAUGGUUCUCCCCUCAUUCCUUUGCAGUUAGAAUGGAAUCUGUAAGGCAGGGUCUGCAGGCCUCUCUCCUACAGUUUGCACAGAUAUCUCAGAAUAGAGUUGAUUCUUUUGGCCUGACUUGGGUUAUACACCUACCCCUGAGACAAUCCUCAUAGCGCAGGCAGAUACGACCCUCUGAUAAGUCAGAUGCCUAUAGUGGGGUGGGAUCAGCCCUACCCGGACCACAUUCACUGCGGUAGGAGAGCACUGAGGCCUCAGGGAACAUCAGGGAGCCGUUCUGACAAGAGAGGAUGCGAGAGAGGCGGUAAACACGGAUGUCUGCCCCGUGACAAAGGACACCUGUCUCCCCCUGCUACUGCAACAUCCUCUGUUGGCGAUCUGGGUCCUCAGGGAGGCGGAUGGACAUAAGUGAGAGGAAAAUGUUUAUUUAGGAGCCCACCACAAGAAAGAUGUGGGAAUAAGGACGAGAAGAAAAUGACCAUUUAAAACCUGGGGAAGUGGUGUUCUGUUCAAUCUCCAUUUUCCUGGAGAUUCUGCAGUCAGUGCUGGAAAGGUCAGCCCUGUCUUGCGGGUGAUCUCUUCCAGGAACACUCAGAUGGGCUGCUCGGGGCUAUAGUCCAGGGACUGGGGGGGUAGAGACUUAUAUAUUCCUUUCUGCCUGAUUCAUUGUAUUCACCUUUGGGUCGGGAUCGGAAAGGUGGGAGAGAGGGUCAGACAGUUCUUUGGAUGGGAAGAAAGACGCGGCACUCCGGGAAGAAGUGCCAGUCAGAUUGGACCUAGGGUGCAUUGAUCUGAUGGGCGGAGGGGUGGGGUGGGGGCCACACCAAGAAGAGAGAGUUGGCAUUCCUGGGUGGAGGGGUUUCUGCUGGUGCAGCCACUGGCUGGCUCAGAGCCCCGUGCUCCCUUCUGCAGCUCUGAUGCUCUGUUCUCCACUCAUAGGGUCAAAGACUAAGUGAAUAUUUUUUAGGCAAAUCUGUAACUGAUGAAACCUGAACACACAUGUGAUGAUGCUCUCAAGCCAGCAGUGUGGCGUUUGCUGAAGAAAUCAGUAAGAGGGAAUAUCCAGAACAAUUAGGGAGGAUUUGCUCAGGAGAGGGCUUCCUUGCUCCACUUCGAAAGUGAUUGAGGACACCCACAUGCUCAAGGAAGUCAGAACUGGCGACCACCCCAGCACAGACCUUAGUCAUCAUCCGCGAAAGAAGACAGCAAAUGUGACCUGGUAAAGAACUGUCUGGUGGCCAUGCUUGCCCAGGGUCACCUCCAGAAGACACUUCCUGUGCCAGUCACAAAGCAUUGAAAAUUCAUCGAAUCCUUAUCAAAGUCAGCCCAAGCACAACAGAAAGGGGUUGCAUAAUUCAUAGCAAAAUGUCCUGAAAUGUCUCUCCAUUCUUCCAAAUCUCUCUGAGCCUUUCAGAUGACUUUUCUCAUCUGUAAAAGCUGGAAAAUAAUUUUGUGCACUUUGCAGGGUUUUGGAGAGCACCAGCGGCAGUGAUGAUGGUGCCACUGGUGCAGACGGUGACUGCAGUCAUGAGAUUAAAAGGUGCUUGCUCCUUGGAAAAAAAGUUAUGACCAACCUAGACAGCAUAUUCACAAGCAGAGAUGUUAAUUUGCCAACAAAGGUCCAUCUAGUCAAAGCUAUGAUUUUUCCAGUANNNNNNNNNNNNNNNNNNNNNNNNNNNNNNNNNNNNNNNNNNNNNNNNNNNNNNNNNNNNNNNNNNNNNNNNNNNNNNNNNNNNNNNNNNNNNNNNNNNACUUUCUCCUUGGAAGAAAAGCUAUGACAAACCUAGACAGCACAUUAAAAAUCAGAAAUGUUGCUUUGCUGACAAAGGUCCAUAUAGUUGAAGCUGUGGUUUUUCCAGUAGUCAUGUAUGAAUGUUCGACGCUGAAAAACUGGUGCUUUUGAACUGUGGUGUUGGAGAAGACUCAAGAGUCACUUGGACAUCAAAGAGAACGAAAGAGUCAAUCCUAAAGGAAAUGCUGCUGUUGCUGCUAAGUCUCUUCCGUCGUGUCUGACUCUGUGUGACCCCACAGACAGCAGCC